rnacentral:rRNA from 1 species
UAAGUUACUGAUUGAUGCCAAACUCAAUUUGACGGAAGUUGGUAAUACUGUUCUGCUAGAGGGCAGAAGAGGUUGAUGGAAUUCUGUGAGGAGCGGUGAAAUGCGUUGAUCUGCAGAGGAACACCAAAAAAGGCGAAGGCAUUCAACUAUUCUGUUCCUGACAUUGAGGCAUGAAAGCGUGGGGAGCAAACCGGAUUAGAUACCCGGGUAGUCCACGCCCUAAACGAUGAGCAUUAGAUAUUAGACGUUAAGUUUAGUGUCGCCGCUAACGCUGUAAAUGCUCCGCCUGGGUACUACGGCCGCAAGGCUAAAACUCAAAGGAAUUGACGGGGACCCGCACAAGCGGUGGAGCAUGUGGUUCAAUUCGAUACGACGCGCAGAACCUUACCAAGGCUUGACAUGGAGGGCAAAGUUGAAGAAAUUCAACAGAGGUUAUCCCGACACAGGUGGUGCAUGGUCGUCGUCAGUUCGUGCUGUGAAGCGUAUGCUUAAGUGCUAUAACGAACGCAACCCUCAUAUUUAGUUGCUACCAUUCAGUUGAGAACUCUAAAUAGACUGCUAAGAAAACUUAGAGGAAGGUGAGGAUGACGUCCUGAUCAUC